rnacentral:rRNA from 1 species
GAUGAACGCUGGCGGCGUGCCUAAUACAUGCAAGUCGAGCGAACAGACGAGGAGCUUGCUCCUCGGACGUUAGCGGCGGACGGGUGAGUAACACGUGUAUAACCUACCUGUAAGACUGGGAUAACUUCGGGAAACCGGAGCUAAUACCGGAUAAUAUAUUGAACCGCAUGGUUCAAUAGUGAAAGACGGUGUUGCGGUCACUUAUAGAUGGAUCUGCGCCGCAUUAGCUAGUUGGUAAGGUAAAGGCUUACCAAGGGGACGAUGCGUAGCCGACCUGAGAGGGUGAUCGGCCACACUGGAACUGAGACACGGUCCAGACUCCUACGGGAGGCAGCAGUAGGGAAUCUUACGCAAUGGGCGAAAGCCUGACGGAGCAACGCCGCGUGAGUGAUGAAGGUCUUCGGAUCGUAAAACUCUGUUAUUAGGGAAGAACAAAUGUGUAAGUAACUAUGCACGUCUUGACGGUACCUAAUCAGAAAGCAACGGCUAACUACGUG